GCGAACUCCGGUCAGCAGGCCCUCCCUUCCAGACCCUCUCACCUCCUGGACAGCUCACUAAGAAUGCAGCUUCAAAAUGGAUGCUGUCCAGGAGUUGGGAGGGUCUGGGAGGGAGGGUCUGCUGCUGAUUGG